rnacentral:sRNA from 1 species
GGAUGUAAGGGUGAUCUGGCUGUGACAUCUGUCACCCCAUUGAUCUCCAGGGUUGAUUCGGCUGAUCUGGCUGUCCCCUUCCUCUGUCAUUGCUCCAUGUGGGUCCCUCCUGAAGCUGGGAGUUCAGUAGAAGAGGAUGACCAUCCCAGAUAAAGAAGGACUGUCCUUUUGUCAAGAGUAUAUGAGGAGCUGCUUUCCCUCUUGAGAACCUCCAAACAAGCUCUUAAGAAGUCCUCUAUGCCCUUGGUUCAGAUUUACUGGUUGUCUUUUUGC